ensembl:lncRNA
CUGGUGGUCCGGUGGCUAAGACUCUGUGAUCCCAAUGCAGGGAGCACGGGAUCGAUACCUGGUUGGGGAAGUAAGAUCCUGCAUGUGUUGCAAUGUGGCCAAAAAAAAAAAAAAAGAAAGAAACUGCCUCCAGCAGCUGGAGUGGCUGGAGCUGGAAGGUCUCACUUGGUGAAGACAGCCAGGAAGCUGGGACCUCUCUUUUGGCAAAGCUUUAUGCCAAUCUUGAAAAAUCAAGAAUUUUCUAAGGCAUCCUAAACUCUGCUUGGGUGGAAGCAGACACUACUUUAAGGCCACUGGAAUUGAAAGAGGCGCUAAAAACAGGAGGCUUACAGAGGCACUUCAGCUGUUGAUGGUAGGGAUGAACUAGCCACGUCUGCAGCAGCGAAAGGAAUUCUACACGAUGGGAGCCACAGAACAGGCCUGGAAGGGGCUGAAAGUCACCGCAAGGCAGAAUGACAAAGGAACCCUCUAUCUUCAAGGAGGCGGCAGCUGUGUGCCCUGAAGAUGACUUGGCAAUGACAUGGUUUGAGAACUGAGACCCCAAAUCCUCCAAAGUCCUGGAGAUGAACAGAGGGACCCAGAAAAGGAGAAGGUACCAGAAGAAGAAAGUGGGAGAUCACCCCUCUCAGCUGCUGUGUCUUGCGGGCAAACACAUUCUGGAUGCUGGUCACCGGAUGAUGUCAUGAUUGUCGUCCUUUUGACUUAAACACCAUUUGAGUUUUACAUGUUCCAGGACUGAACGUUUGCUUGACUUAGGAAGAAGCAACAUUAGCAGGGGCAGUCUCUGAGUGGCAGGGUCAGAAGUGUUAUUGUCUUACUUUAAUAUAUUGGCCGAACUGUCUACAAUGAAUAUGUGCUACUUUUAACAUUUUAUAAAGCACUACUUCAAAAAAAUUGUAAUUACUCAAAGCUGUAUUUAGACAUUCUAUUUGAGACUAAAGGAAGGAGAUGCAGCCUGGGGAAGUCCAGGGGGCUGAAGAAGAGGGGACCCACAGUCUGGGUGGAUGUUAGACUGGGAAGAUUAUGAUUGGAAGGUUCUAGAUUGUUUAAACCAGUGGCCCAGUGAUAUUAUCAAGGAGCUGAAUCCUUCCUCUCUCUGUUCUGCCUUCAUCAGUUUCCGCUGCAUCCAAAUCUGACUCCCCACAUUCUGGCACAAACUGCUCCAAUCAUUCCAGGCUUCACAUCUAUGCAGGGCACCGUCCAGCACAG